rnacentral:rRNA from 1 species
UUGCCCCAGUAACGGCGAGUGAAGCGGCAACAGCUCAAAUUUGAAAUCUGGCCCUAGGCCCGAGUUGUAAUUUGCAGAGGAUGCUUUUGGCGCGGUGCCUUCCGAGUUCCCUGGAACGGGACGCCAUAGAGGGUGAGAGCCCCGUACGGUUGGACACCAAGCCUUUGUAAAGCUCCUUCGACGAGUCGAGUAGUUUGGGAAUGCUGCUCAAAAUGGGAGGUAUAUUUCUUCUAAAGCUAAAUAUUGGCCAGAGACCGAUAGCGCACAAGUAGAGUGAUCGAAAGAUGAAAAGCACUUUGAAAAGAGGGUUAAACAGCACGUGAAAUUGUUAAAAGGGAAGCGCUUGUGACCAGACUUGCGCCCGGUGAAUCACCCAGCUCUCGCGGCUGGGGCACUUUGCCGGCACAGGCCAGCAUCAGCUUGCCGUCGGGGACAAAAGCUUCAGGAACGUAGCUCUCUUCGGGGAGUGUUAUAGCCUGUUGCAUAAUACCCUUCGGCGGGCUGAGGUACGCGCUCCGCAAGGAUGCUGGCGUAAUGGUCAUCAGCGACCCGUCUUGAAACACGGACCAAGGAGUCAACCUUAUGUGCGAGUGUUUGGGUGUUAAACCCCUACGCGUAAUGAAAGUGAACGCAGGUGAGAGCUUCGGCGCAUCAUCGACCGAUCCUGAUGUUCUCGGAUGGAUUUGAGUAAGAGCAUAUAGGGUUGGACCCGAAAGAAGGUGAACUAUGCGUGUAUAGGGUGAAGCCAGAGGAAACUCUGGUGGAGGCUCGCAGCGGUUCUGACGUGCAAAUCGAUCGUCAAAUAUGCGCAUGGGGGCGAAAGACUAAUCGAACCUUCUAGUAGCUGGUUUCCGCCGAAGUUUCCCUCAGGAUAGCAGUGUUGAACUCAGUUUUAUGAGGUAAAGCGAAUGAUUAGGGACUCGGGGGCGCUAUAUUGCCUUCAUCCAUUCUCAAACUUUAAAUAUGUAAGAAGCCCUUGUUACUUAAUUGAACGUGGGCAUUCGAAUGUAUCAACACUAGUGGGCCAUUUUUGGUAAGCAGAACUGGCGAUGCGGGAUGAACCGAACGCGAGGUUAAGGUGCCAGAGUAGUCGCUCAUCAGACACCACAAAAGGUGUUAGUACAUCUUGACAGCAGGACGGUGGCCAUGGAAGUCGGAAUCCGCUAAGGACUGUGUAACAACUCACCUGCCGAAUGUACUAGCCCUGAAAAUGGAUGGCGCUCAAGCGACUCACCCAUACCUCGCCCUCAGUGUAGAAACGAUGCGCUGAGGAGUAGGCGGACGUGGAGGUCAGUGACGAAGCC